rnacentral:rRNA from 1 species
GACGAACGCUGGCGGCGUGCCUAAUACAUGCAAGUCGAGCGGAACUGGGGGAGCUUGCUCCUUCCAGUUUAGCGGCGGACGGGUGAGUAACACGUGGGCAACCUGCCCUGCAGAUCGGGAUAACUCCGGGAAACCGGUGCUAAUACCGAAUAGUUUGGCGCCUCUCCUGAGGCGCCACGGAAAGACGGUUUCGGCUGUCACUGCAGGAUGGGCCCGCGGCGCAUUAGCUAGUUGGUGGGGUAACGGCCCACCAAGGCGACGAUGCGUAGCCGACCUGAGAGGGUGCCCGGCCACACUGGGACUGAGACACGGCCCAGACUCCUACGGGAGGCAGCAGUAGGGAAUCUUCCGCAAUGGACGCAAGUCUGACGGAGCAACGCCGCGUGAGUGACGAAGGUUUUCGGAUCGUAAAACUCUGUUGUGAGGGAAGAACACGUACCAACUAACUAUUGGUACCUUGACGGUACUUCACCAGAAAGCCACGGCUAACUACGUGCCAGCCGCCGCAGUAA